GCAAACGCAUUGUCAGGUAUUUUUAAUAUGGCAAAUUAAACUACUUACAUGUAAUACACAAGUUUCAUAUUUACAGUAUCAUAUAACGAUAGUCCUACGAUAGCAUGUUGCCUACAUGUAUCUGUGAUAUUGUUGAAGUUACUAUAUUGCUACUGAUUUGUUCAGUCUUGUCUUCCGUACUAGGGAUCCUGUGGUCUUCACUGAACUCCUCUGAUAAAACUAAAUAAUAACCAAAAUAAUCACAAAUCGUCCUAGAAGUAAAGCUAGAGCCAGGGUUCCGAAAACAUUGAGAGUUUUAC